rnacentral:rRNA from 1 species
UGUAGCAAUACACUUGUAAAGCGGCGAACGGGUGAGGAAUACAUGCGGUUCCUACCCUCGAGUGGGGAAUAACCAGCCGAAAGGUUGGCUAAUACCGCAUACGAUUCUCGGACUGCGGUUCGGGAAAGAAAGCGAUACCGUGGGUAUCGCGCUCUUGGAUGGGCUCAUGUCCUAUCAGCUUGUUGGUGAGGUAACGGCUCACCAAGGCUUCGACGGGUAGCUGGUCUGAGAGGACGAUCAGCCACACUGGCACUGCGACACGGGCCAGACUCCUACGGGAGGCAGCAGUAAGGAAUAUUGCGCAAUGGGCGACAGCCUGACGCAGCGACGCCGCGUGGGGGAUGAAGGUCUUCGGAUUGUAAACCCCUUUCGGGAGGGAAGAUGGGACGGGCAACCGUUCGGACGGUACCUCCAGGAGCAGCCACGGCUAACUUCGUGCCAGCAGCCGCGGUAAUACAAAGGUGGCAAGCGUUGUUCGGAUUUACUGGGCGUACAGGGAGCGUAGGCGGUUGGGUAAGCCCUCCGUGAAAUCUCCGGGCCUAACCCGGAAAGUGCGGAGGGGACUGCUCAGCUAGAGGAUGGGAGAGGAGCGCGGAAUUCCCGGUGUAGCGGUGAAAUGCGUAGAGAUCGGGAGGAAGGCCGGUGGCGAAGGCGGCGCUCUGGAACAUUUCUGAC